CCCUAGGGUAGAGGAGCCGAAAUUAUUAGUAUUUUUCUCGAGACGCAAUCUAUGAAAGAAAAAGAAAGGAAAAUCGGCCGAAGGGUUAUAUUUGCAAGAUAUAACUCUGGGUAUACAUAGAAUAUAUGUAUAACUGUCACAUAACGUGGAGAGCUACAAGGACG
rfam:Clostridium baratii str. Sullivan, complete genome.